rnacentral:lncRNA from 1 species
UUGUAGGUGUGUAUAUAUAUAUAUACGUGUAUAUAUAUAUGUAUGACUAUACAUAUAAUAGGGUUCACAUUUAAAGUAUUUAUUUGUAAAGAAAUGAUUCUCAUGAUAAACUACCCCUUUUCCUUCAUUCUCAGACUUUAGCAAAACAGAUGCUAGCAGUGAAUUUUUACUAUACUUUUUAAAAAAAGUUACAUAUUAAACAAUUUAAAAAGUCACUUAUCAGAAGUUAAUCUAAAAUUUCUACUUUUUUCUAUUACUAUACAAUGGAUGGUUAAAAUAGUUUAUGGACCAGCACAACAUAAUAAAUAUUAAUUAAAGCAACUUGACAGUUAAAUCCUAUAUACAGAUAUUCAUAUUAAAAUCAUCAGCUGGAACAGCAGGCCCUUACGGUAUUCCCAAUUACUAGACUAUGAGUUGUAUUUCACAGAAUUUUAUGAUACUAAAAGUAAAUGAAUAUUCUAAAAAUCUAAUACAUUAAUAAAAAUUGGACUUAGAAAUUAAGGGUCAAAAUAAAAAGCAGUCAUGCUCAAAAAUAUUUUUAAAAUCACAUCACCAAAGUAUCAGUAACUUCCAAGGAUUCUUCUUAAUAAGAAAUACUUUUAAAAGAAACAAAAUUACAAUGCAUAAUCUUUAACGAGAAGGUUAAAAGUGACCUUAGUGAAUACUUUUCAUAAUACAUCCUAUAGUGCUGUUAGUGGCAUUUUCCAAACUGUGCUCUGAAAAACUAAUUUCUAAGAGAAGUUGAUAGAUAUUCACAGAAGUCUGGGAAACAGUACAAAUCUUAACUCACCUUCACAGUGUCCAUUAGCCUUUUAAAGUCCCUGAAGUUUAGCAGUAAAGAAACCUAAAUGUCUUGAUACAUAACCAUUUUGGGAAAUUGCUCUGUGGUUGUUUAUAUGCCUUUUCUAUACCCAGCACCCUUACCUCAACUGUGCCUAGCUCAAAGCUAUCAAUGUAUUAUUGUUGUCAAUAUAUAUCGAUUAAACAGAUGGACGGGUGUUUUACCUUGUGUCAUUCAUUCCAUCCUAGCUCACCAAAAGUAGUUUGGGCCUAAGAACUGUGGAACAACUGAAGAACUAUAGUAAUGAAGGGAUUGGUUUCUACAAAAGGCAAAUACAUGAUACUUUAUGAGUAAAAGGAGGAAAACACUGUAUCAAAUUUUGGUUUAAGUAGCAAAUCAAACUUUUAAGUAAAUCUUAAUUUGGAGGAAUUAUUGAGAAGGCAGAAAUAAAUAACAGAGUGUAGUUGCAGACUCCUGUAAUCUCAGGGUUUAGAGUGUAGUUGCAGACUCCUGUAAUCUCAGGGUUUAAAAUGCACCCAAGUUGAUGUCAUUUUAUAGCAUGUGGAUGGAUUGUUAAGAGUUCUGUACACAGACAGAGAGCCAAAUCAUGAGUGAACUCCCAUUCACAA